rnacentral:rRNA from 1 species
UUGGUGUGAAUUGCAGAAUCCCGUGAAUCAUCGAGUCUUUGAACGCAAGUUGCGCCCGAGACCAUUUGGUCAAGGGCACGCCUGCCUGGGCGUCACAC